ACACAAGGAUAAUAUCAUCAUUUAAUGUUCCUCUAUUUUGUAUUAAUUAUUCUGUAGAAAAAAAGAAAAAAAAAAUCAAUAUUGAAUAACACAUUAUUUAUAUAUAAUAG
rnacentral:ribozyme from 1 species